rnacentral:rRNA from 1 species
GAGUUUGAUCGUGGCUCAGGAUGAACGCUGGCGGCGUGCCUAACACAUGCAAGUCGAGCGAAGCACUUGCGAAUGAUCCUUCGGGUGAUUUUGCUGGUGACUGAGCGGCGGACGGGUGAGUAACGCGUGGGUAACCUGCCUCAUACAGGGGGAUAACAGUUAGAAAUGACUGCUAAUACCGCAUAAGCGCACAGUACCACAUGGUACAGUGUGAAAAACUCCGGUGGUAUGAGAUGGACCCGCGUCUGAUUAGCUGGUUGGUGGGGUAACGGCCCACCAAGGCGACGAUCAGUAGCCGACCUGAGAGGGUGACCGGCCACAUUGGGACUGAGACACGGCCCAAACUCC